GGUGUGUGGCACUGCACGUAUGGUCCUUCCCGGCACCGUCACUGCAGGGGAAGCUCAAAGAUGUAGAAGGCUCAACAAGUGAUGGAGAGAUGUUCAGCGUCGCGGGGAUUGCACUUUAAAGCCCGUACCGGUUUAGUUAUGUGACAAAUAAUAACAGUACGGGAAAAUAAAGUAGUUGGAAAUACUCCAUCCUGAAAGCUCGGUGGGGGAGGGGGGGAAGCAAAGCAAGGGUGAGUGGGGAUAAUGGGGAUAGGAGGAACCGGUUUACACUUGAAGGAAAUGGUUACUUGCACGAUUUCUAGAGCUAUUAAAAACCCAGGCCUUUUAAAGCUGUUGCUGGUGAGAUGGAAACUGAAGUCACAGGCUGUUUCUCAAGGAAAUCAAGUCCUGGCCUGUAGGUGAAAGGCUGGUACCAGCUUACGUAGUAUCCUAUCUCCUGGUUGAAAAGGGAUUCACAUGGAAAGCAGGGCUAAAUUCCUGGCAUAAGGUCAGGAACCCACAGGACCUGUCUCAAAGACAUGAGCUGUGCUUCUUGUCGGGAAUACCCCUCUUCCCGUCCAAGUGAAACACCUGCAGGUCUGGCCAUACGGAACCUGGCAAUGCCAAACCUGCAAGCCAAAGAGGUGAACACGUGUAUUCAGGACACAAAGCUGCAGCUUUAACUUACAUGUGCUUGUUGUCGUGGUUGUUUCUGCAGGCUGAAUUUUCUGUCGGCCGGAUUUUGUGUGGUAUUACACAUGAGCUUUAUGUAUAAAUUUCAACACUUCAGCUUUGUUAAAGCAGGGUUGCUGACUGGCAGAACAGCUGCAUAAUAGCCAAGUUUGCCGCUAAUAUUGCCUGCAAUAUUAGGGACAAACAUUAGAAAGUGUAUUUUGAUUGUUAUGUUACAAUGUUCUUAUUUUACAAAAGAAUCAAGAGAAGUCAUUAACAAUAAAUUCAUUGCAAGGUAUAUUCAACCUUUUCAUCUCUGUACCCAUUACACCUGGCCAACUCACAGAGGCAGAACUGCUGGCUGCAGGGAUUUAGGCCUGUGUGGUGCAUCCAUAUAAACUAGUGGAGAUUAGGCCUACGAGUUUACAACCUCAGGCCUUGUUUGCUCAGACAUUUGCAUGAAUUGCUGUAAUUGAAACUGGUGCAAAUUCCUGUAUGGAUAAUCAUCUUUGGAGGCUGGGGACCCAUGUCUUAGAGGUCUGUGCUUGGUAUCUCUGGACUAGUUUUGGAGGCAUCAUGGGGCGCCUCUGCAUGAAGAUCCCCCUUGCUGUAUUUUCUAACUUAAGAGACGCGUAAGCAGCCUUCCACAUGGGAAGUUUAGGAAGCGGGUGGACAGAACAGGAAAACAGCGUUAUUCAAUUCAGCAUCUGAAAUCUGCUCCAGAAGCAUAAAAAUGCAAAUAAUAUAGGUAUUGUAAAACUUACACUCAAUAACUAAAUCAGGAUUUCAGUGACUGGAGAAAAUAUGUAGGUAUUCUUUAACAGCAUUUAUGUUCUUGUUUUAAACAUCCCUAUUCUUGUAGUAAAAUGUAAUGAAGGGUGAGCUAGCACAUGCUACAUUAAUGCUGUAAAUGAAACAAAAAAACACCAAAACAAAACCCCCUUAUGUAAUAACUAAAAAAAGGGUUCAUGAAAUAGAAAAAGCGAUGUAUCUAACAGUUUAGGAAUGAAUUCUAAUUCUGGGCUAUCGCAGGGCAAGAGAAAUUAAAAUAACUCAGUUUCUAAACUUUCCAUCAUCCCAACUUUUAUAAUUCUCCAGAGAGGUCAAAACUGUGGUCUAAGGCUGAAUGUAAAAUUCUGAGCAAAUGGUUUUACUUUUUUUAUUCCAGUAAAAGUGGAGAUAAUUUUUGUCUAAUAAAAACUGCUUUUUUAAUAAAACCACUCUCCAAAAAUUAUGGCAAUGUUUACACAAUAGAACUGUCCUUUUAACUCUGUCUUUUCUACCAUCUGCAUUGCUCUGUUUUAUCCCAUCUCCUCUGAUCACUCUAUUUAUGACAGUUUAAGUCUUUCCCUAAGACUGCACAUGGUUUGUAUACUUUCUGGGUAUCGUGACAUCAGAACUUAACAGUGAUGGGAUAUACAUAUAUAUGUAUAUAUAACAGAUAUGGUAAGGGGCAAGAAAGCUUAUCUCUAACUUCUGUAUAACUUCCAACUUCUGUGCAGUCCUCACAGACCUCUCUGGUCCUACAUAGGGAUGUUAACUGCAAUGAACAAUAGUAGAAAUAAACCAAAUAGUUUUGUGGAGGUAUUUUGUGUAUUACAAAUUCCAUUAAAACCACUGGGUGACAUAGUUGUCUUAGUGACAUAAAACCCGUCUGCUGUGGUCCCAAGAAAAGGAAAACUCUGCCCCUACCCACAAUUCAAAUAUCAGAGAUGCUGGUUGAAGGUAUUCAGGGAGAGAAGAAAAACAGGAUGUGUACCUUUUAUGAAGGCCACAACUCAAGGAUACAUUGAUGUCUUAAAAUGCAGAGACUAAAGCUAACAUUGCCAUUAAAAAAGGGGGUGAAGGUUACCUGGAAAAUCUGUAUUCCCUCUGUCUUAUGAGACAUC
ensembl:lncRNA